CCCGGACCCUGUGGCCUCGCCCCGACGGCCGCUCCACCCCCAGGCAGCCGGGCCGCCCGGAGCCCUCGAGGAUGGAGGUCCUGGACGAGUUCGACAGUGAGUUCCCCCCGAGUGUGACCUUCUGCCAGCUCAUCUCUGAGGAGGACUUCGAGAGGCAGGCUGCGACCUACACGGAGCGCGCGCUGCGCCGCCUCUUCCGCAGCAUCGACCGCAACCCGGCGCUGGCCGAGAGGGUGGUGCGCAAGGGCAAGCAGGCCGAGUGCGAGCGGCGCGGGUUCCUCUCCUUCCUCUGGGCCAAGCUCUCCUGCGCCGUCCAGGGGGAUAUGAACUGUUGCAACAGCAUGGGCGCCCGGGAGAUGCACCAGCGCCUGGAGCAGCUGAAGAGGGGCAUCCACCGCGUGCACCUCUACUCGCAGGAUGCCAAGAAGAAGAGAAGGAAGCCAAAACCGAAGAAAUCAGAACCCAUCCUCUUGAGAGACCGGUCAACCUCCCCGUGCCUGCCACCAACCUUGCCACCUCCACCACUGCCACCACCUGCCACCACCAUGGCCUCCAUGGUGGCCCCAUCAUCCCCUGUCUACACUAUGCCCAGGGUCUUUGGCCCCUUCCCUCCACUGCCCAGCACAUCGGUCAGUGGCCCUUGGAGAGGCAGGAAGCAGCCCAGCUCCUCUUCCAGGCCCACAGCAGUGGCUUCCAGAACUUUCUGUUUAAGCCACAGAACUCUCUGCAGGCAGCAGUUGAUAAGCAGAUGGAAAGGGGCUGCUCUCCUUGAAGGGUUGGGGUGGAGGGAGGCACAGAGCUCCACCUGCUUGGCCCCAGUGCCCUGGGUGGAAGCCUGGGGCCCCCAUCUCCAGCCUGAUGCCUGCUUCUCCCCAUGGGUGUCAUUCUCAGUGCUGUCCUCUGAGGGCCCCUGCAGUGCUAUCCCUGCCCGCCUGCCCCUCCUGACUCCCCCUUACCCUACACCUGUCCCCCAGGCUGGGUUAAGACCUCCUCCCUUGGCUCCCAGCCCCCAUCCUGUGCCCUGUGCCCCAACACCCAGCUCUAGGUGGGCACUGAGAAUGAGCCUGGUGUGUUUGCUGAUUGACAGAAACAUACGUCAUUCUCCUAGUUCCUGGAGAAGGUGUUUUUCUUCAUGGCGAGGACCCCAAACUUGUCCUGAAAUUUCCUUUGUUUCCUGAAGGUGGAGAAACUGGAAGUUUCAAGGUCUGAAGUGAAAUUAAAUUGGACUGGCCUCUCAUCAAACCCAAAGAGCCACAUGGUUGAUCUGACCCCCUUGGUCCUCAAUCCUGGAGGCUUCCACUUCUCGUACCUGGCCAGGAACAGUGCUC